UUAAAGUUUUAUUUUAACUUUAAAAUUAAGUAUAAUUUUAAUUUAUAUGUAAAUUUUUGUUUGAAAAUAAUAAAUUUUUAGAUAGGGUUUAUUUAUGGAUUAAUUCUCAGUAAAUAAUUUUAAAAAUUAAAGUAAUUUAGAUUUAGGGAUAAUUUUGAAUAUUAACAAAUUUUGUGCCAGCAGUUGCGGUUAUACAAAAGAUAUAAUUUAAUUUAUUUAGCUAUAAUUAAUUUAUGUAUAAUUAUAGAUUAUAUAAAAAAAAUUAUUAAGUGAAAUUUUAAUUUUUUAUUAAAAUUUAUUUUAGUUGAUGAAGUUAAGAAAUUUAAUUAUUAAACUAGGAUUAGAUACCCUAUUAUUUUAAAUGUAAAAUUAAUUGCUUGAUUAGUAUUAGUUAUGUUCUUGAAAAUUAAAAAAUUUGGCGGUAUUUUAGUCUAUUCAGAGGAAUCUGUCCUAUAAUUGAUAUUCCACGAUUAAAGUAACUUAUUUUAAUUAGUUUGUAUAUCGUCGUAGUUUGAAUAUUUUUUAAGAAUUUAAAUGUUCAAAAUUUUUAAUUAAGAAAAGAAAUCAGAUCAAGGUGCAGUUUAUAAGUAAGGAGAGAUGGAUUACAAUAAUUUUAUUUAAAUGGAUUUAAAUAUUAAAAUUUUAUUGAAAGUGGAUUUGAAAGUAAUUUUAAUUAAUAUAUUAAAAUGAUUUUAGCUCUAAAAUAUGUACAUAUCGCCCGUCGCUUUCACUAUAAAGUGAAAUAAGUCGUAACAAAGUAGUUUUACUGGAAAGUGAAUCUGGAAAGA
rnacentral:ncRNA from 1 species